UACGGGGGGGGGCAAGCGUUGUUCGGAAUUACUGGGCGUAAAGGGCUCGUAGGUUGGCCAACUAAGUCAGACGUGAAAUCCCUCGGCUUAACCGGGGAACUGCGUCUGAUACUGGGCACGCUAGAGUUCGGGAGAGGAUGGUGGAAUUCCCAGUGUAGAGGUGAAAUUCGUAGAUAUUGGGAAGAACACCGAUGGCGAAGGCAGCCAUCUGGACCGACACUGACGCUGAGGCGCGAAAGCGUGGGGAGCAAACAGG
rnacentral:rRNA from 1 species